rnacentral:lncRNA from 1 species
GUCUUGUACUGCAGAUUUACUGGAUUGCCCUGAGGUUGUGCACAUCCCCAUUCUUGACAGUGCUGCAGAUACAGAACAGGAAGACUGCUCUUACCAGAGAAAACAAGUAGGAAGUAUAUCAAAGGCCAAAAUGCAGAACUAAUCUGAAUUUUGACAUGGCUCACUGUCUGCCCAGAAGAGUAAAUGCACCCAACCGCAGCUCUUCUGAUUGCACAAUCUGUUUAUGUCACCUGGGGCAUCAGUUGAGGAGUUCCAGUUUCAGCCGUAAGAUGCCUAAAGUGAGAGGAUUUGGAGAAAUGGAAGUAGCCUUUAUGUUCCUUCACCAUCAGCAAAUGCAACAUAAUAGUGUAAGUACAGGGCUACCUUACUCCCCUGCAAAGUAGUACCAGUUCUAUCAAUUAUAGUAGUAGUUCCUUGUUCAAAUUUUGUAACAGUUUCAUACCAUCUAAGAUUUUUGGCUUUUGUUUUUACACAUGUUUGAAGAUCUUAUAUUUCUUUUUCAGUAAGAGUAGGAUGAUAUUGUGAUGUUAU